GCAAGUCAAACGGGAUGUAGUAAUACAUCUAGUGGCGAACGGGUGAGUAACGCGUGGAUGAUCUACCUACGAGAUGGGGAUAACUAUUAGAAAUAGUAGCUAAUACCGAAUAAAGUCAAUUAAUUUGUUAAUUGAUGAAAGGAAGCCUUUAAAGCUUCGCUUGUAGAUGAGUCUGCGUCUUAUUAGCUAGUUGGUAGGGUAAAUGCCUACCAAGGCGAUGAUAAGUAACCGGCCUGAGAGGGUGAACGGUCACACUGGAACUGAGAUACGGUCCAGACUCCUACGGGAGGCAGCAGCUAAGAAUCUUCCGCAAUGGGCGAAAGCCUGACGGAGCGACACUGCGUGAAUGAAGAAGGUCGAAAGAUUGUAAAAUUCUUUUAUAAAUGAGGAAUAAGCUUUGUAGGAAAUGACAAAGUGAUGACGUUAAUUUAUGAAUAAGCCCCGGCUAAUUACGUGCCAGCAGCCGCGGUAAUACGUAAGGGGCGAGCGUUGUUCGGGAUUAUUGGGCGUAAAGGGUGAGUAGGCGGACAUAUAAAGUCUAUGCAUAAAAUAC
rnacentral:rRNA from 1 species